rnacentral:rRNA from 1 species
AUGGUGCCCCCCUCUCCGGGCGUCCGGAACUUUCGCUACGGGAUGCCCCAUCUGGACCGCGUUUCACGAUCUGCUUAUGCAUCCAUGGUCGUCAUGGCAAGGAACAUUGCAGUAAAAGGCGAGAAUACAUGGGGCAAGUCGAAUUGGCUCUGCUGCCCCCCUUGUUGCAGUAACUAUUUCUGCACCUCCACCUACGCCAAUGGCGACCAAUCUGCCAUUGCCGAAGCCAUGGAUAGAGCAGAGAUGAAGGGGCGGACCUCUUCUCGUGUAUAUACAGCCCACAUCCUUAACAACACCACCCACCGGGACGGUUCUAUAUACAAGAAACACUCUGGUUUUCUAGGUUUAUGGCCACUUACCCGACGUGAUGAGAGUUCUGUUAUUGGGAUGACUGGCCCUAAGCGAUACAUCGCAACGCUAGCCCCUGUUCUAGUUGAGUUUGACAUGAGGAUCAAGAAAGGAGAGCAAGAAGAGGAUGAUCUACAACUAAUUGAUGGUGCAAUAGAGUACGGCAAUCUAUGCACAUCUGAAUACCCAUUCACAGAUCGUAUUAAUGGCGAUUGCGGCACGGUUGACAUUACUUUAGCCCUCGUUCGUUGGGCAUUUGAGGCCACAAUAGAUGUUACCGUAUCAAAAGUGCAGAGUAGAUUCGAUUUAUCUCUCAGUUCGUUUGUUUUUAUUAUCGAUGGGUUACAUGAGAUUAAGCUCUUUCAUGGCAGUAUUGGUGAGUCGUGUGGCUUAAGAAGACAUGUGAUUGCUGUAAAGGAGGAUACUUGGAUGCAUUUGAAGUUCAAGGUAGGUCAGAGAAGUUGUAAAAAUGAUGGUGAUCUUGAUCGCCAUUGUUCCUUCAAAGCAAAAAAACAUGGGUACGAUUGUCAACAAAUCAUGCUUGAGCUUGCCUCUAUCUCAGUGAAGGUGACCUGGUCGAAUGUGCGAACGGCUCAGAAUUAUAAGUCAACAACCGGGCAGUAA